rnacentral:tRNA from 1 species
CCCUGGUGGCUCAGGCAGUACAGAAUCUGCCUGCAAUGCAGAAAACCUGGGUUUGAUCCCUAGAUCAGGGA